CAGCCGCCGCGGUAAUACGAAGGGGGCUAGCGUUGUUCGGAUUUACUGGGCGUAAAGCGCACGUAGGCGGAUCGAUCAGUCAGGGGUGAAAUCCCAGAGCUCAACUCUGGAACUGCCUUUGAUACUGUCGAUCUGGAGUACGGAAGAGGUGAGUGGAAUUCCCAGUGUAGAGGUGAAAUUCGUAGAUAUUGGGAAGAACACCGGUGGCGAAGGCGGCGACCUGGUCCUUGACUGACGCUGAGGCGCGAAAGCGUGGGGAGCAAACAGGAUUAGAUACCCCUGUAGUCCCUGUCUCUUAUAA
rnacentral:rRNA from 1 species